UACGGAGGGUGCGAGCGUUGUUCGGAAUCACUGGGCGUAAAGCGCGUGUAGGCGGUCCGGUAAGUCCGCUGUGAAAGUCGGGGGGCUCAACCCUCGGAUGCCGGUGGAUACUGUCGGGCUUGAGUACGGAAGAGGCGAGUGGAAUUCCUGGUGUAGCGGUGAAAUGCGCAGAUAUCAGGAAGAACACCUAUGGCGAAGGCAGCACUCUGGGACGGUACUGACGCUGAGACGCGAAAGCGUGGGGAGCAAACAGG
rnacentral:rRNA from 1 species